rnacentral:tRNA from 1 species
AGACGGUUGGCCGAGUGGUCUAAGGCGCCAGAUUUAGGCUCUGGUCCGAAAGGGCGUGGGUUCAAAUCCACAAUGUUUA